UGUCUUUAACUUGGAAAAUCAUAAUAUAAUUUUUUUAAGAUAUAUUUUUCGGUCAAUUUUUUGUUCAAUGAAGAAAAUCACUAAACUUACAAGAUGUUCUUGAGUCAUAGUUAAGCGCAGUACAACCGGUGCUGUCCACAGAGGGCGCGUAGAGUGACUACAGGGCAUAAGACAGGCGAAGGCAUACAUAGAUGGGCCCUCAGUCACACAAUUAUUGCGCUUAAAGAGACUAGAAAUCCAUCUAGUGAUAGGUCUCUUCAUCAGACACUGGCAUUUAAGACGUAAUCUUCAUACUUUUGGACUAUCUGGAAUGUUGGUGAGGAUGAAACCGCAGACCACGACCCGACCCACUAUCGGGAGUGCUCAGCACUCACGCGCUAGGAAACCUUCGGUGGCAAUCCGCACGUAUGCAUUACAUGCUCUCUGCUACGUCUUUUGUUUUCAGCACGACGUUAGUAAGCCUAAGAACUAAGAAGCAUUUAUCUAUGGUAAGCGUCUGACUUUGAUGGGGCUAACUGACAAUGUAAACUUGUAAUAAAAUUGCGCAAAUCAUUUUCCAAGCAUUGUUAAAAUAUUUUUCUAAUGUAGGCUUUACAUACGCCAAUGCACAACCUGCGUAGAAUCAGAAUCUCAAAAUGUUUAUUAUGCUGUGUACUGCAUAAUGAAAAUUUAAAUGUUAUUCUAUUAAAAAUAAAAUACAAACUCAAAAAAAACAUAAUUUAAAGACUAUUUAAAAAUGUAAAAACAACUUUUCAAAGUAAAAUUAAGAAAAAUUAAUUCUUUAAAUAAAACGUUCCAACAGAUAAGUUAACCUAUCUAAAACCCCAUUUCGUACUUCAACAAUUUUCUCUCGCAAUUCCUCAAAAUCUGCUGGAUUACUAAAUUCAUAUUUAUAAAUGAUCUCAUUAAGAUAAACCCAAAAUAAAUGUCAAUCCCAUUAACAAGACGGCUAGGAACAGCAUUUAUUAGAAUAAAUGAUUUUAUUAUAACCGCAUUAUGAGUAGUGAAAAU